AGCCGCAGCUAUUGCCUUCAACACCGUCUUCCUCCCCGGGGUCGUCUUCAACUGUCAUGAAAGCUUCUCCCCAAAGACUCUCGCAGAGGUCACGUCCAUGCUGGUACAUCUGAUCAACAAACACAGAUGCAUCAAGAAGAAGAAGAAGACGCCUCACUUGCUGGCUGAAGAAGAAAACGCAAAGGCGUUCAGGACAGUUCGGACAUUGUAUUGAAAAUCAGAGAUCAAUAUAAAUCAUCAUUAGAGCGCCCUCUGCUGGCCGGCCUGACAGUGAGCGGUACUGCGCUCCAUCUAGAGGUGGACUGAGGAAGUGCAGCACAGGUCAGGUCACUCAAGACCAUUCAUCACGAUUUCUCCUGUUGACUGACAGUUUGGGAUUUAAAAUUGUAUUUUAAAAUUUAAAUUAAAAGUCUCUUUGUGGAAUAAACCCCAAACCUCUAACACAAAAUAUUAAAGUAUUAAAAUAAAACAUCAUGUGUCUUGUUGAAGAGAAGUGUGUUGUUCCUUCACAAAGUGUUUUUGUUUUAUUCCAGUGGGUAACCACUAAGAACAGCCAGCAGAUACGUGCUUAAAACCACCCAGAACUCCCUAAAAAUGUUCUGAAAGCAACACUAUCAUUGCUCUGUGUCUCUAUCCCUGUAUUUAUGGUGUGGACUUUUCUAUUCUUAUGGAAUUGGAGCGUUUAUUAUAACAUUAUCUGUUUAGUUAUCGUCUUUGGAAAGACUUUGGAAGUUUGAAAGGGCCUUGGCAUUGAGUUUUGCACAUGUAAAUACCACUCACAUUGACUUCAGAGGAAAAUCUAGUUUUUAAAUGACCUUUUAUUCUGAAGGAAUCUGCAGUUGUCAAAAAAAUAAACAAACAAACAAUCUGUUCUUGUAGCAUGCAAAUGAAUCACGAUAUUAUUUAAUCACAUCUGUCUUCAUUCAUCUUAAAUAACAUUAUAUGCUUCAUGAAGAGCAUGACUAAUAAAGCA